CCAGCAGCCGCGGUAAUUCCAGCUCCAAUAGCGUAUAUUAAAGUUGUUGCAGUUAAAAAGCUCGUAGUUGGAUUUCUGGCAGGAGCGUCCGGUCUUGCACUCUGUGCGGGAACUUGGAUGUCUCUAGCCAUCUUUGGGGAUAUCCUGUUUGGCAUUAAGUUGUCGGGCAGGGGAUACCCAUCGUUUACUGUGAAAAAAUUAGAGUGUUUAAAGCAGGCUUAUGCCGUUGAAUAUAUUAGCAUGGAAUAAUAAGGUAAGGCCCUGGUACUUAUUUUGUUGUUUGCGCCCCUUGGUAAUGAUUAAUAGAGACAGGCGGGGCUAUUCGUAUUGCAUUGUCAGAGGUGAAAUUCUUGGAUUUCUGGAAGACGAACUACUGCGAAAGCAUUUAGCAAGGAUGUUUUCAUUAAUCAAGAACGAAAGU
rnacentral:rRNA from 1 species